rnacentral:rRNA from 1 species
GGGGAGCGAACAGGAUUAGAUACCCUGGUAGUCCACGCCGUAAACGGUGGGCGCUAGUUGUGGGAACCUUCCACGCUUUCUGCGACGCAGCUAACGCAUUAAGCGCCCCGCCUGGGGAGUACGAUCGCAAGAUUAAAACUUAAAGGAAUUGACGGGGCCCCGCACAAGCAGCGGAGCAUGCGGCUUAAUUCGACGCAACGCGAAGAACCUUACCAAGGCUUGACAUAUAGGGAAAAGUGGCAGAGAUGUCAUGUCCGCAAGGGCCCUAUACAGGUGGUGCAUGGUUGUCGUCAGCUCGUGUCGUGAGAUGUUGGGUUAAGUCCCGCAACGAGCGCAACCCACGUCUUUAGUUGCCAGCAUUCAGUUGGGCACUCUAGAGAGACCGCCGGUGAUAAACCGGAGGAAGGUGUGGAUGACGUCAAGUCAUCAUGCCCCUUACAUCCUGGGCUACACACGUACUACAAUGCUACGGACAAAGGGCAGCAAACUCGCGAGAGCUAGCAAAUCCCAUAAACCGUGGCUCAGUUCAGAUCGUAGGCUGCAACUCGCCUACGUGAAGGAGGAAUCGCGGAUCAGCAACGCCGCGGUGAAUACGUUCCCGGGCCUUGUACACACCGUCCGUCACGUCACGAAAGUCGGUAACACCCAAAACCAGUGGUCCAACCGUAAGGG